AGCCUUCCCAUAUUUUUGCUCUGGGGACCUUGCUAACGACUUUUAAAAUGCGUGUCCCCUGCUAUACAUAUGGAACAGGAUAGUUAAUCUGGAUAGACAACACAAUAUUUACAUGAAGGGGCUGCCGUUUAUGUUCAUUGCUGGUUGAUUUUUAACUCCUGGUUCUGAUGUUAUCUAUAUGAUCCCGCUAUCUUUUAAAGUGGUCCACCUCAAGGAUGUUCGGCGCCAAGACAUACAUCAAAUCUGUGUGUAAAUAAGGCAAUGCAGGAUCCCCAAAGUCCACUGGGGGUAUUUGGGCAUCUGAAAACAGGACUUGGCCUAUUCAACUUGUAUUUUUUCAUAAAAAAAGACCUACAUGAUCCUUAUGUUGCACAAUAUACACAGCUUCAAAUCUCGUCCAUCUUCUGACAAUAGCUUCAGAUAACAAUUUAGCAACUUGUCUUUGAAGUGUGCUGAAAAAGCCUGUUGGGAUUGUUCUUAUCAGAUGGAGUCUAUGGGUACAUUAGGAUGCUCCACUUCAGUCAGUGAGACAAGAACACGAUUAGAUCUCCCAAAUGUGGACAGGAAAGACAGCAUCAUUAACUCUAAAGAGAAGAUGUUUUAUUGCAAAAGACGAUGUACAGCAAACGCAAACCCCCCCCCAAAGCUUGGGAACUAUGUGAACCACAUUGCAUACUGGUGGAACUCCAUUAUUUCAAACUAUUCUGUCCAAAUGUUACUGGAUUUACUGUAAUAAAAAAAGCAAACAAACAAAACAAUGAAAAAAAAACACACAAAGAAUUCAGUGCCGGUUCACAGAUCACAAACAAGCAUGGAAAUUACUAUUCUUCCUGAUGAAACACAAAUCAAGCAGUCACGUAAUAAAAAAUAAAAGGAAGCAUUUUUUGUGUUUUUUUUGUGUUUUUUUUUUUUACAAAGAGAAACACUGCUAGAAAUGUACAGUUCAGUGUUGAUAACAGACACCUUUCGAAGCUCUAUGUAAGAGAAGCGAAUAUGUGAAGGAUGGGUCAUCAUGAUACCAGGAGAAGCCAUUGCAGAUCCACAAUCAGGUUUCAGUACUAAUCAAUGCUGGCUCAGAAAAGCUGAAAACAACUGUUUAAACCACACGGUAAUUAAAACAGUGACUUGCUAAUGCAUUUAUUGAGUAGACGUGUGAUGGUGUGUGUGUGUGUGUGUGUGAAUUUUAAGGGCGAGUCGGAAGAGGAGAACAGUGCCCUGAAGAAACCCUCAUCAUUUCGAACAAACAGCUUCUUUUUAAAGUAACAUUCAUCACGAGAGGACCACUUCCUCAACAGCGUUAUAAAAGUGCAAGAGUUCCUUUGCCCUGUUCCUGCAAGACCUUCACAGAGACAAUUCUACACCCCACCCCCACCCCAAACUGAUGGUACUUAGCGUGUUGGUGCAAUGCGUGCAAAAUAUGAUCAGUACAGUACCUGCAGAUGUCUCGUGUAUCAGACACACAUAGUGGGAGAGGGAGAGGAGUCUGGCUAAGGAUACAUAACAUUACAUAACCUCCCCAUCAGCACACCCAUAGACACACACUAACGAGCACGUCCAAUCAUCAACUGGUGCACUCAAGAUGCGGGGGCGGGCUCUCCCAAGUGGCCCCCUGUGGGGUUCAGACAAGAUGCAGUUUCUGUCACAUUCACACCGUACUCCGCCACCAAAACCAGGUUUGGACGCGGUUCACCACUCCGGGUCCAAGCGGCUCCAGAACCAACCGCCCGCUGCGAGCUACCAUGAUGCUUGCCUUUUCUGGGCUGGAAAAAUAUAUAGCUAUAUAAAACACUUCUGCCACUUUAUUCAAGAAGUUGGUCCGAUUCACACCGUCAGGCCCUUCACUGUCCCUAUCCCCAACUCGGAGCUCUGCAAACGUGUUUCCUUUGGACUGGAGAGGGAAUAGUACAUGUGCUGCCCAGCGACGCUCAAAGUCUCACUAUGGGCUAAUACUGGGACACGGCGGACGGGAGCCUCAGGACUCAAAACACUUCAUGAUGGCUUCCCUGUCAAACUUAAAGCCCAGGAAGGACCUGGAGGACAUGAUGUGCUCAAAGUCACCAUUGACGGCGUCCGGCCGGCUCGCGCCCUGGCCGUUGAGGCCGUUCAAGUUGCAGGCAGCAUCUGCAGAGAGAGAGAGAGAGAGAGAGAGAGAGAGAGAGAGAGAGAGAGAGAGAGAGAGAGGG
ensembl:lncRNA